rnacentral:rRNA from 1 species
GAAAUGGCUACCACUUCCAAGGAAGGCAGCAGGCGCGUAAAAUUACCCAAUCCUAAAACAGGGAGGUAGUGACGAUAAAUAACAAUGAUUCAAUGAUAACAAAAGUUGAAUUAAUUGGAAUGAGAACAAUAUAAAUCCCUUAUCGAGUAACAAUUUCAGGGCAAGUUCUGGUGCCAGCAGCCGCGGUAAUUCCAGCUAGAAAAAGCGUAUACGAAUAUUGUUGCAGUUAAAACGCUCGUAGUUGGAAUAAAAAGAGAAAGAGAGAGAGAAAAACAAUGUUUUUCAAUUUUUUAUUUCUAUUUUUUAAUUUUAUAUAUCUCCUAAAAAAAGAUAUAUAGUAUUUACUUUGAAUAAAUUAGAGUGCUUUAAGCAGAUUGAGAUUUAAAUUUUAAAUCUUUUUUGACGUUUGAAUAAUUUAGCAUAGAAUAAAAUAAUAAGAUUUGAAAGAUAAGAUUUGGUAAUUAUGUAGCAAAUAAUGAUAAAUAGGAAUAGUUGGGGG